CCUACGGGGGGCAUCAGUGAGGAAUAUUGGUCAAUGGGCGAGAGCCUGAACCAGCCAAGUCGCGUGAAGGAUGACGGCCCUACGGGUUGUAAACUUCUUUUGUCAGGGAGCAAUUGGGUCCACGCGUGGGCUUAGCGAGAGUACCUGAAGAAAAAGCAUCGGCUAACUCCGUGCCAGCAGCCGCGGUAAUACGGAGGAUGCGAGCGUUAUCCGGAUUUAUUGGGUUUAAAGGGUGUGCAGCCGGGAAGACAAGUCAGAUGUGAAAUCCCGCGGCUCAACCGCGGAACUGCAUUUGAAACUGUUUUUCCUGAGUACCGGAGAGGUCAUCGGAAUUCCUUGUGUAGCGGUGAAAUGCGUAGAUAUAAGGAAGAACACCAGUGGCGAAGGCGGAUGACUGGACGGCAACUGACGGUGAGGCGCGAAAGCGUGGGGAGCAAACAGGAUUAGAUACCCGGGUAGUC
rnacentral:rRNA from 1 species